rnacentral:rRNA from 1 species
UUGAACGCUGGCGGCAUGCUUUACACAUGCACGUCGAACGGUAACAGGCCUUCGGGUGCUGACGAGUGGCGAACGGGUGAGUAAUGCAUCGGAACGUGCCCAGAGGUGGGGGAUAACGCAGCGAAAGCUGUGCUAAUACCGCAUGUGAUCUGAGGAUGAAAGCGGGGGACCAGGCAGCAAUGUUUGGCCUCGCGCCUUUGGAGCGGCCGAUGUCAGAUUAGGUAGUUGGUGGGGUAAAGGCCUACCAAGCCGACGAUCUGUAGCUGGUCUGAGAGGACGACCAGCCACACUGGGACUGAGACACGGCCCAGACUCCUACGGGAGGGAGCAGUGGGGAAUUUUGGACAAUGGGCGCAAGCCUGAUCCAGCAAUGCCGCGUGCGGGAAGAAGGCCUUCGGGUUGUAAACCGCUUUUGUACGGAACGAAAAGGCUCUGGCUAAUACCUGGGGCUGAUGACGGUACCGUAAGAAUAAGCACCGGCUAACUACGUG